rnacentral:lncRNA from 12 species
AUGAUAGCUGAAAAUUUAGCUCUCUUACAAGACCCAUUCCUGGAUAACUCCAUUAACAAGUUCUUCCUUUUUUGCUAUUAUUUGGAAUCUCUACAUCCGACGUGGAGCUCAAACUCACGACCCAAGAUCAAGAGUCCCAUUCUCUACUGACUGAGCCAGCCAGGUACCCUGUUGUAUUUUAAAUUAGCUUGUAUCUCCUCUUGGGAAACUGGGGAAAUUGGAUAUUUUUAGACUAAAUGAGCCAACAGUUAUCUUUCAGUCCUGGCUAAAGCCCAAUGCUAUGUUGUUCACUAGCUGAGGAAUGGAGAAAAAUAGGAGAAGGGAUAGCAAGGGACAAUAUCAUGACAAUUGUUCUAGGACAACCUCUUCUUUAACAGAUGGAUC